UAGUCCACGCCGUAAACGAUGGAUACUAGCUGUCCGCUGCCUUGAGCAGUGGGCGGCCAAGCGAAAGUGAUAAGUAUCCCACCUGGGGAGUACGUUCGCAAGAAUGAAACUCAAAGGAAUUGACGGGGGCCCGCACAAGCGGUGGAGCAUGUGGUUUAAUUCGAUGGUACGCGAGGAACCUUACCAGGGCUUAAAUGCAGAAUGACCUCCUGAGAAAUCAGGAUUUCUUCGGACAGUUUGCAAGGUGCUGCAUGGCUGUCGUCAGCUCGUGCCGUGAGGUGUUGGGUUAAGUCCCGCAACGAGCGCAACCCUACCGAUAGUUGCCAUCAGGUAAUGCUGGGGACUCUAUCGGAACUGCCAGCGCAAGCUGUGAGGAAGGUGGGGGACGACGUCAAGUCAUCACGGCCCUUACGUCCUGGGGCUACACACGUGCUACAAUGGGUAGAGACAGAGGGGCAGCCACUUGGGCGAC
rnacentral:rRNA from 1 species